GACGAACGCUGGCGGCGUGCUUAACACAUGCCAGUCGAACGCUGAAGCUCAGCUUUUGUUGGGUGGAUGAGUGGCGAACGGGUGAGUAACACGUGAGUAACCUGCCCCCUUCUUUGGGAUAACGCCCGGAAACGGGUGCUAAUACUGGAUAUUCACUGGUCUUCGCAUGGGGGUUGGUGGAAAGGGUUUUUCUGGUGGGGGAUGGGCUCGCGGCCUAUCAGCUUGUUGGUGGGGUGAUGGCCUACCAAGGCUUUGACGGGUAGCCGGCCUGAGAGGGUGACCGGUCACAUUGGGACUGAGAUACGGCCCAGACUCCUACGGGAGGCAGCAGUGGGGAAUAUUGCACAAUGGGCGCAAGCCUGGUGCAGCGACGCCGCGUGAGGGAUGGAGGCCUUCGGGUUGUGAACCUCUUUCGCUCAUGGUCAAGCCGCAACAAUGGUUGUGGUGAGGGUAGUGGGUAAAGAAGCGCCGGCUAACUACGUG
rnacentral:rRNA from 1 species